rnacentral:sRNA from 1 species
UUCUGCAAGCUGCACAAGAAGCAUGGUGCCAGCAUCUGCUGCUGGAGAGGGCCGGGCUGCUUCCACUCAGCAAAAGGCAAAGGGGAGCCAAUGUGUGCAGAUCACAUGGCAAGAAAGGAAGUACAGCUGGAAGAGGAGACUGAGAACAAGUUGGGAGAACUAGGCUCCUCCGCUGAGAGCAAGGGGGCCUUGAAGAAGGAGAGAGAGGUGCACCAGAAGCUCCUGGCCGACAGUCACAGCCUGGUCAUGGACUUGCGCUGGCAGAUCCAUCACAGCGAGAAGAACUGGCACCGGGAGAAGGUGGAACUUCUCGACCGCCUGGACAGAGAUCGGCAGGAGUGGGAGCGGCAGAAGAAGGAACUCUUGUGGAGGAUAGAGCAGGGAAGCCUCCACAUGCCCCGUCCUGUGGCCAUGUGGCCUUGUGCAGACGCCGACUCCAUCCCGUUUGAAGACCGGCCACUGUCCAAGCUGAAGGAGUCGGACAGGUGCUCGGCCAGUGAGAAUCUCUACCUGGAUGCCUUGUCCCUGGAUGAUGAGCCAGAAGAGCCACCAGCCCACAGGCCCGAGAGGGAGUUCAGGA